GCCCUCAUCAUCUAGUGGCCUAGGAUAUCAGGUUCUCAUCCUGAAAACUCGGGUUCGAUUCCCGAUGAGGGCG
rnacentral:tRNA from 1 species